rnacentral:tRNA from 1 species
GCAACCGUGGCGUAUUGGUAGCGUUCGAGCCUUCCAAGCUCGAGGGCCGGGUUCGAUUCCCGGCGGUUGCA